rnacentral:tRNA from 1 species
GGUGGGGUUCCCGAGCGGCCAAAGGGAGCAUACUGUAAAUCUGCCGUCAUCGACUUCGAAGGUUCGAAUCCUUCCCCCACCACCA